ACUUCGGGAUAAGCCUGGGAAACUGGGUNUAAUACCGGAUAGGACNUUUAGACGCAUGUCUUUUGGUGGAAAGCUUUUGCGGUGUGGGAUGGGCCCGCGGCCUAUCAGCUUGUUGGUGGGGUGAUGGCCUACCAAGGCGACGACGGGUAGCCGGCCUGAGAGGGUGUCCGGCCACACUGGGACUNAGAUACGGCCCANACUCCUACGGGAGGCAGCAGUGGGGAAUAUUGCACAAUGGGCGCAAGCCNGAUGCAGCGACGCCGCGUGGGGGAUGACGGCCUUCGGGUUGUAAACCUCUUUCACCAUCGACGAAGGUCCGGGUUUUCUCGGAUUGACGGUAGGUGGAGAAGAAGCACCGGCCAACUACGUGCCAGCAGCCGCGGUAAUACGUAGGGUGCGAGCGUUGUCCGGAAUUACUGGGCGUAAAGAGCUCGUAGGUGGUUUGUCGNGUUGUUNGUGAAAUNNCACGGCUUAACUGUGAGNGNGNGGGNGAUACGGGCAGACUAGAGUACUGCAGGGGAGNNNGGAAUUCCUGGUGUNGCGGNGGAAUGCGCAGAUAUCAGGAGGAANACCGGUGGCGAAGGCGGGUCUCUGGGCAGUAACUGACGCUGAGGAGCGAAAGCGUGGGGAGCGAACAGGAUUAGAUACCCUGGUAGUCCACGCCGUAAANGGUGGGNACUAGGUGUGGGUUUCCUUCCUUGGGAUCCGUGCCGUAGCUAACGCAUUAAGUACCCCCGCCUGGGGGAGUACGG
rnacentral:rRNA from 1 species